GUUCGUCAAUUGUUUCAAUUGUUAUAUACAAUGAACUUCAAUAAUAGUUUGUAUACUUAUAAUAUACCUAAUUUACACAAACUCAUUAUCUAGAGUAAUGAGUAUGCAGCGUAAUUAUUCGUAUAUAUAAUAUGCUGAUUCUAAAAUUAAAACUUUAUUUUAGGCACAACUGGUCCGUGCACAUCACGUCAUAUCGAUUCGCGUUUACACACAACUACACAACAUUCGAAGGUUUUUACAGACGAUUCCGUUCGUCGUGAUCCAGGGAUGGCCGCACCGGCUGUCCGUCACGAGUCUGAAGGACGCAACCUGUCGACACGAAGGAUCGGUUUCUGCGAAUUUCUGUCAAUACCGAUGGAUCGCUGCAAGAGCCUAUACACAUAUUAUAAUAAUUUUUGACUUUUGACACCGGUUGCCCAAUGAUGACGACAGCGACGCGCGCGCACAAUGCCAUCGUAUUAUAUCGCGCACAAAGGCGAUCGGAAAUCGAAAGAAAGAAAAAAAAAAUAUCAAAACUCGUCUUCAACAUAACGUGCAUACAUAUGCUGCUGUUGCUUCUGCUGGUGCUGCCGCUUCGAAUUCGGUAUACCUAUAUACGAACGAACUAAUAAAGUAAUCAAGUAAAGACUAUAGUUGGUACCAAAUACGGUGAAUCAUUAAGCAGGGCGUAGCAACUAGACAUAAGUAGAACAAUUUUCUUUUUCACAUUUAUUAAACAUUUUAUUUUAAAAUUAUAUAACUUGACAUUAUAUGUUCUUACUAUUUAAUUAACAAAUUAGGUCGAUUGUCGUUAUUCAACUAACUCCACAUCUGAACCAUCAUAAUCAAUAUGUACUAUGUACCUAUAGGUACACAAUGUGUAUUGCAGGACACUGUGUAGUGUGUACUAUAAUAGUAAAUACGAUUAUUUAACAGUAUAGAACGUCUUAGUUGUCAGGACAGGAAUGAAUUAUUAAUGAAUUAAAUCAUAUAAGAUAAUGCAUGUAUGGUUGUCAUCGUCGAUUUACAUAUUUCAGUAACCACGCCGGGCACGCAGUAUAAGUACAUAAUUUACCAUAACAAUAUUAUGUACGAUGUACCUAUAUAAUGUGUAAUAAUACCUGUAUAUAGGUACCAACCCCAAAGGGGAAUCGAGAGCCGUCCGGCGUCCACAGAACCCGACAUUCCCCAACCCUUAGGUCAAACGUAAGGCGACAGCGACGCGGGGUUAGAGGUACGUGGUAAGUACUUGGGGUAAGUCACCAAUGUAUUCUUUGGCUACCGGCGGCAGCGUGACGGGAUUUCGGACACGCGAGACCCUCUCUGGUGGUUGCUUCGCGAGCGACGACAAAACGGCGAAGGCUAAUGGGCAACGAUGUUACCAGCGUACUUAACGUAGAUAAUUUUAUUUAUGUUAUUUAUAUUUUCACGUUUGAUAAAAAUAAUAAAAUUGUCUAUGCGAUAAAAUGUUGUUUCUUAUUUUUCUUUAUAACGAAUACAUUAUUAUUAUUAUUACUAUCUAUUUUAACAGAAUAAUGGGCCCCACUAAACUCGUGCCACGUGUGGGGUCCAUCAAGAGCAUCAACCAACAAUUAUUUUGUUACUUACGGGUUUUGGCCACGUGAAAGUGACCAUUAUGAAAUAUAAACGGAAGUAUGUACCUAUAUACGGUAAAUAUCAUUCAAGUAAAAACCAUCGAGAGAUUGUUUAAAAUAAGUAAUUUUAAACCAAAUUGAUAAAAAGCAAAAAUUAAAGCAAAAUGUUACCUACAUGCCCCAUUUUCAAAUUAUAUAUGUGCACCUCGGGCUAACUAUAAAGGUAUAUUUUUAAAAUAUAGUUGUCAACAGACUAUAAGUUUUUAGGAGAAAAAUUAUAUGUGCUCUUGUUUCGAUUAUUACCAAUGCAAUAUUGGAAUCGUUACAAAUUUGGUAAAAAUAUAUGUACAAUUAAUGAUAAUAUAUAACAAAACUGAUUGGAAAUUUAGAAACUACAUACAAUUUCACAUAAAUAAGGAUCUUUAUUUUAUUAAUAAAAUAAAAUAAGUAUUAAAAUAUAAAAUUAAAUUUAGGUGUACCAUUUUACCCAUGUUCCCCCCAUAAUUGGGACCGACAUUUUGUUUGUUGUUUUUCCAAGUUUUUGGACCUGAAUUUACCUAAAAAAAAUCUAGAGGUUCCAAGAAAUGAAUGUUGGUUGCAAUCAUAUACCGGUAUAUUAUACCGGUGCCAGUUUGAGAGACGGUCAUUUUUGUAAUAAGUUAGGUUAAAUUAAUAAUAAUAUAAUAUAAUAAUGCAUCUAAUAAUAUAUUAUAUUGAUCCCUGUUUAAGAACGUUUGCAGUUCAUCGGAGUUUGAAUUUUUUUUCAGCUAUUGUUUGUAAAAUUCGUGUCUAUACAGAUUCACCGGGUUGACUCUAAAAGAACACGUUUACAUGUGCAUAGAUUUCAAUCGGUAAUAAUAUUAUGCGACGUGUGCAGCCAUCGUUUGUAUUGUUGUCAGCUCCGCGUCCGAGUCCUGUUUCGCAUGUUUAAAUUAUUAUUAUCAUCUCCGCGAGUCACCACCCCGCAAGAUGUACACACGUACGCUUACGGAUACAGUGUACUGUAUUAUAUUUAUAUAUAUAUGUAUGUUUAAUACUAUAAUAUCAUAUUGUAUUGUGAUAUCACAUAGACAGUGUUGGACGGCAGAUUUCUAUCGGAAAGAGUCUCCUAGACCGUGACGGUCCGGAUAACGGUCGUCAGAGAA